AGGAAUGUAUAGCGAAAGCUAGUUGCAUUUAACUUAGCGAAAGCUAAGUUGAUGCAGGAUUGACUAUGUCAAAUAAAGUUCUAGGUGGGUUAUGAUGAUGACAUUUCCUAUCUAUGUGUCUUGACCAAAUUACGUGCCAGCAGUCGCGGUAACACGUAAAAGACUAGUGUUAUUCAUCUUUAAUAGGUUUAAAGGGUACCUAGACGGUAAAUCAAGUCCAAGAAGGGUACUAAUUUUACUAGAGUUUAAUAUGAGGGGGCACUAAAGUACUGAUAAGUGUAGAGAUGAAAUUCUGUGAUACAAUAUACGGCACUGGUAAAGGCGAAAGCAUCUCAUUAUGUAAUAACUGACGUUGAGGGACGAAGGCUAGGUGUAGCAAAAAGGAUUAGAUACCCAAGUAGUCUUAGCAGAAAAUUAUGAAUGUCAUAGGAUGGAAAGUUGGAUGGACAAACAACAAAUUUUUUUUUCUAUAAAUGAAAGUGUAAGCAUUCCACCUCGAGAGUAAUUUGGCAACAUUGGAACUGAAAUCAUUAGACCGUUUCUGAAACAAGUAGUGAAGUAUGUUGUUUAAUUUGAUGGUCCGCAAAAAACCUUACCACAAUUUGAAUAGAAAAUUUUUUUUCAUACAAGCGCUGCACGGUUGUCUUCAGUUAAUGUCGUGAGAUCUUGGUUAGUUCCAUUAAAUUAACGUAAACCCUUACUCUAUUUUUAUAUAGAGUAGUUCACCG
rnacentral:rRNA from 1 species